GAUGAACGCUGGCGGCGUGCCUAAUACAUGCCAGUCGAGCGAACGGACGAGAAGCUUGCUUUUCUGAUGUUAGCGGCGGACGGGUGAGUAACACGUGGAUAACCUACCUAUAAGACUGGGAUAACUUCGGGAAACCGGAGCUAAUACCGGAUAAUAUUUUGAACCGCAUGGUUCAAAAGUGAAAGACGGUCUUGCUGUCACUUAUAGAUGGAUCCGCGCUGCAUUAGCUAGUUGGUAAGGUAACGGCUUACCAAGGCAACGAUGCAUGGCCGACCUGAGAGGGUGAUCGGCCACACUGGAACUGAGACACGGUCCAGACUCCUACGGGAGGCAGCAGUAGGGAAUCUUCCGCAAUGGGCGAAAGCCUGACGGAGCAACGCCGCGUGAGUGAUGAAGGUCUUCGGAUCGUAAAACUCUGUUAUUAGGGAAGAACAUAUGUGUAAGUAACUGUGCACAUCUUGACGGUACCUAAUCAGAAAGCCACGGCUAACUACGUG
rnacentral:rRNA from 1 species